rnacentral:sRNA from 1 species
CGGCGGCGGAGCAGCGCGGGGAGCCAGGCGGGCUGCCGGCGGAUGGCAGAAGAUUUUUUCAUUUAAUGUCUGGGGUAAAAUUGCAACUUUUUGGAACAAGGCUUUCCUUACCAUUAUCAUCCUAUUGAUUGUUCUAUUUCUAGAUGCUGUGAGAGAAGUAAGGAAAUAUUCCUCAGUUCAUACCAUUGAGAAGAGCUCCACCAGCAGACCUGAUGCCUAUGAACACACACAGAUGAAACUUUUUAGGUCUCAAAGAAAUCUUUACAUUUCUGGAUUUUCACUAUUUUUUUGGCUUGUUGAGACGUCUGGUUACGCUUAUUACUCAACUGGCAAAAGAACUGUCAAACAAAGGUGUACUUAAAACUCAAGCAGAAAAUACUAACAAGGCUGCCAAAAAAUUUAUGGAAGAAAAUGAAAAACUAAAAAGGAUUUUGAAAAGCCAUGGUAAAGAUGAAGAAUGUGUUUUGGAAGCAGAAAAUAAAAAACUAGUAGAAGACCAGGAGAAACUGAAAACUGAAUUAAGGAAGACUUCAGAUGCCCUUUCUAAGGCACAAAAUGGUGUGAUGGAAAUGAAGAUGCAGUCAGAGAGACUUUCGAAAGAAUAUGAUCAACUCCUGAAAGAACACUCUGAACUUCAGGUCCCACUGGGCAGCUUCUACAUACUGGCCUUCGCACCUGGGCUCCAUAACCCUCAUCCCUCCAGCCCAAGAAGUGGUGGUGGCUUUUCUGCUAUUGAUAAUCCCAGAGGUGCCUUACCACCCUGUUUGGAUCGUUUAGAAAGAGGCAACAAGAAAAGACUGUGAACUUUAUAAAAGACACUUGCAAUAUACUGUAUCAAAAUGAUAAUUUUGUUAUGUUAGCCUCUAGAAAAUUUAAGUUCAGAAAAAUGCACUAUGACCGGUUCGUAAUUUUUUUAAUGCCACACAUAGGUUGUAUUAUAAUGGCAUUAUCAAAAUAUUUGAUGAUGUUUCAGAUAUAUUGCAAAGUCUGUAUUCCAGCUCUUAAGAAAAAUAUAAGCAUGUUAAAUACCAUAUUUACAUAUUGAUAAUGUCAUUGGUAUAUGGUGGCUGUUUAC